rnacentral:rRNA from 1 species
GACGAACGCUGGCGGCGUGCUUAACACAUGCAAGUCGAACGGAAAGGCCCUGCUUUUGUGGGGUGCUCGAGUGGCGAACGGGUGAGUAACACGUGAGUAACCUGCGCUUGACUUUGGGAUAACUUCAGGAAACUGGGGCUAAUACCUGAUAGGAGCUCCUGCUGCAUGGUGGGGGUUGGAAAGUUUCGGCGGUUGGGGAUGGACGCGCGGCUUAUCAGCUUGUUGGUGGGGUAGUGGCUUACCAAGGCUUUGGCGGGUAGCCGGCCUGAGAGGGUGACCGGCCACAUUGGGACUGAGAUACGGCCCAGACUCCUACGGGAGGCAGCAGUGGGGAAUAUUGCACAAUGGGCGGAAGCCUGAUGCAGCAACGUCGCGUGCGGGAUGACGGCCUUCGGGUUGUAAACCGCUUUCGCCUGUGACGAAGCGUGAGUGACGGUAAUGGGUAAAGAAGCACCGGCUAACUACGUG